rnacentral:rRNA from 1 species
GGGGAAUUUUGGACAAUGGGGGCAACCCUGAUCCAGCCAUUCCGCGUGAGUGAAGAAGGCCUUCGGGUUGUAAAGCUCUUUCAGCUGGAACGAAACGGUACGGGCUAAUACCCUGUGCUAAUGACGGUACCAGCAGAAGAAGCACCGGCUAACUACGUGCCAGCAGCCGCGGUAAUACGUAGGGUGCGAGCGUUAAUCGGAAUUACUGGGCGUAAAGCGUGCGCAGGCGGAUUGUUAAGCAAGAUGUGAAAUCCCCGGGCUUAACCUGGGAAUGGCAUUUUGAACUGGCAGUCUAGAGUGCGUCAGAGGGGGGUGGAAUUCCACGUGUAGCAGUGAAAUGCGUAGAGAUGUGGAGGAACACCAAUGGCGAAGGCAGCCCCCUGGGAUGACACUGACGCUCAUGUACGAAAGCGUGGGUAGCAAAC